rnacentral:rRNA from 1 species
UACAGAGGGUGCAAGCGUUAAUCGGAAUUACUGGGCGUAAAGCGCGCGUAGGUGGUUACUUAAGUCAGAUGUGAAAGCCCCGGGCUUAACCUGGGAACUGCAUCUGAUACUGGGUGACUAGAGUAGGUGAGAGGGAAGUAGAAUUCCAGGUGUAGCGGUGAAAUGCGUAGAGAUCUGGAGGAAUACCGAUGGCGAAGGCAGCUUCCUGGCAUCAUACUGACACUGAGGUGCGAAAGCGUGGGUAGCAAACAGG